rnacentral:rRNA from 1 species
AUUGAACGCUGGCGGCAGGCCUAACACAUGCAAGUCGAACGAGUGGCGGACGGGAGAGUAAUGUCUGUGACACUGCCUGAUGGAUGGGGAUAACUACUGGACACGAUAGCUAAUACCGCAUACCUGCAGCUAGGCCCAGAUGGGAUUAGCUUGUUGGUGGGGUAAGGGCUCACCAAGGCGACGAUCCCUAACUGGUCUGAGAGGAUGACCAGGCACACUGUAACUGAGACACGGUCCAGACUCCGACGGGAGGCAGCAGUGGGGAAUAUUGCACAAUGGGCGAAAGCCUGAUGCAGCCAUGCCGCGUGUAUGAAGAAGGUCUUCGGGUUGUAAAGUACUUUCAGUUGGGAGGCGUUACCCGCAGAAGAAGCACCGGCUAACGCCGUGCCAGCCGCCGCGGUAAUAC